AGAGACCCUGGGAACCAGACCAGGCGGGCUCACAAAGUAUGAAGAGAAUGUCGGGAGAGGAAGUGGUGGCUCUGAGUCAGCACGAGUCAUCUGGUUCCAGUGACAAUGAAGACUGAGGUGUCUGCUUUGCAGUUUUUUUUUUUCUUUUCUUGUCUUUUUUUUUUUUUUUCCUAAUCAUGUGGACAUCUCUGAGAAUGAGGGGACUGGGUGACUUUGCAGUGUCUGCUUUCUAAGUUUCAAAGUGACUUUCCAGGCAAGCUGCGCAUAUCUUGGGAUCUUCACAGCACAGUGGCUGGGAAGGCAGGCGGACCCGUCUAUCAGCUUCUCCCUGGUGGGAUUCUUGCGGGGGCAGGGAUCGAGUCAAACCUUGGAAAUGACGUCAUUCUGAACUCAUCUGCCUUUAUCCAGAAGACUACCAAAGCAAACCAGAGGACCAGAGAACAGCAGCUGCUCUGGACAAAGAGGGGAGGACACCCACACCCACAUACCAAGUUCUGGUUGACUUCUACAGCAGAAGAAGCAGGAGACACAAGAAGUCUCCUCAGAAGAACAUUGACCAGCACGCCUGCAUCCUUUCUGUUCUGACACACUUGUUACCUGGAUGACUUCUUUCUCAUCACCCACGUGCCAAGAGUGCCAUGUCUCAUCUGGACCAGAGACUCUGAGGAUCACACCAACAGAGACACAAAUGACACUUAAAGAAAGCCACAUCAGCUUUUACAACUUACCCCCCAAUACCGAAUGUCAUCAACUCAAUUUAAAUCAUUGGAUGGUUCUGUUCUCAGGGCCAGAGAGUUUCACUAAACUUCGUCGAACCCUUCGGUAUAACUGUCAACUGUGCAGAGUGUGCUUGGUGUCUGGAUUCUCAGCCUUCAGUGUAAUCAUGUUUACAUCCCCAGGUGUCAGAAAAUUCCCCCUGACCCUUAACCCCCAACCCUUAGCAUGUUGGUGUCUUAGCUUUUACAAUGUCAUUGCUGGACUUGACUGCUUUUCACAAAGGUAGCUGCCCAACUAGCCAUGCCCCAACCAGUACAUUCUUCUUGGUUGCAUUCUUAAAUUCUCAGACUUUUUCUUAACAAAUGUGACAACUGAAUGUUUAUUGGUGUUGGUUUGGACUUCAUUUAAUCCUGUUAAAACCAGUUUGUGUCAGUCACAAUCUGGUGGUUCAUUGAUUGUCCUUCUCUGAAUCCGCUCACCAUCACAUUUGACACCUAGGCUUUCAUUUUUUCCCCCUGAGUCAGGGUUUUUCUGUGUAGCCCUGGGUGUCCCAGAACCUGCUCUGUAGACCAGGUGAACUCAGAGAUUCACCUGCCUCUGCCUUCCAAGUGCUAGAAUUCAAGGUGUGCACCACUACCCUGAGCUUUCUACAUUUUUAUGUCUUUGAAUAUCAAGUUUGCAGUGAGAAAACUGAGGCUCAGGGUGGUGGAGUCACGUGACCAAAGUCUCAAGACUCCAGAGGGGAGCUGAGCUGAGUGGUGAUAAGGGCCUGUGCUUCUGAAACCAGGGCACAUGGCCAGAGCAGAGUAGCAGUCGACAGUGACAAGGACACUAGUGUCACACCCAACAGUCCACUAUGAAGUCACAUACCUGACUCAUGACACCCUAGCAAUACCACCAGCCAAUCCACUUCCUAACAUCUAAGGAUCUCCAAGGACUCCAGCAAAUGGUGGUUUGGGGAGACCAAGGUCCCUAGCACAGAUCUAAGAGUCUCCAUUGUGGAACUUCAAAGUGUUCAGGGUUCUAUCCGGGCAUCCGUUUGACUGGGAAUCCUUUUUUACACUGCUCCAUAUUUGUCCAUUUCAAAAAUGAGAAUAUACUUUGUUCACUGCCUUGAUGAAAUUGAUUUCAGUUUAAUCAGUUGCACCCUGUUUAAUAGACCUGUUAUAAAAGAUGUGCAUUUGUGUCUAUCAAACCCACGUGGUCCCCUGUAUUCUUUCUGAAAUGUUGUCAAUCCUCGUGGCUAAUAAGUCUACAAUAGUCCAAGAAUUCCUGUCAGGCAUUCACUUUUUAUAAAACUCACUCAAUUUUGCAA
rnacentral:lncRNA from 1 species